AUUGAACGCUGGCGGCAUGCUUUACACAUGCAAGUCGAACGGUAACAGGGUGCUUGCACCGCUGACGAGUGGCGAACGGGUGAGUAAUGCGUCGGAACGUGCCGAGUAGUGGGGGAUAACGCAGCGAAAGUUGUGCUAAUACCGCAUACGUACUGAGGUAGAAAGUGGGGGACCUUCGGGCCUCACGCUAUUCGAGCGGCCGACGUCUGAUUAGCUAGUAGGUGAGGUAAAAGCUCACCUAGGCGACGAUCCAUAGCUGGUUUGAGAGGAUGAUCAGCCACACUGGGACUGAGACACGGUCCAAACUCCUACGGGAGGCAGCAGUGAGGAAUAUUGGUCAAUGGGCGCGAGCCUGAACCAGCCAAGUAGCGUGAAGGAUGAAGGUCCUACGGAUUGUAAACUUCUUUUAUAAGGGAAUAAAGUGUGCCACGUGUGGCGUUUUGCAUGUACCUUAUGAAUAAGCAUCGGCUAACUCCGUGCCAGCCGCCGCGGUAAAAC
rnacentral:rRNA from 1 species